GGGGGGGGGGGGGGGGGGGGGGGGGGGGUGGGGGGCGGGGGGGGGGGGGGGGCUGGCGGGGUGCGCGAGGGGGGAAGGGGGGAGUGACGCGGGGGUGAUCUGCCCCGUACGUUGGGCUAAGCCUGGGAAACUGGGUCUAAUACUGGAGAGGCCCAUGCUGUAGGUGGUGUGGUGGAAAGAUUAGUUUCGGUAAGGGAUGAGCUCGCGGCCUAUCAGCUGGUUGGUGGGGUAAUGGCCUACCAAGGCGUCGACGGGUAGCCGGCCUGAGAGGGUGGACGGCCACAUUGGGACUGAGAUACGGCCCAGACUCCUACGGGAGGCAGCAGUGGGGAAGAUUGCACAAUGGGCGCAAGCCUGAUGCAGCGACGCCGCGUGGGGGAUGACGGCCUUCGGGUUGUAAACUCCUUUCAGCCAUGACGAAGCCCUUGUGGUGACGGUAGUGUUAGAAGAAGCACCGGCUAACUACGUG
rnacentral:rRNA from 1 species